rnacentral:rRNA from 1 species
AUUGAACGCUGGCGGCAGGCCUAACACAUGCAAGUCGAGCGGCUGCACGGUGCUUGCUUCCUCUUUCAGCUGCCGACUGGCGGGCGAUUCCUAGGUACCUCCCUGUCUGCUUUUUCUAACGUCCUGACGCGGGCGCUCAUACCCCAUUCCCCCAUACGGCCUACGUGUGGGAUCCUCGGAUCUUCCGCCCUUACGUGAUCCGAGGUCGGAUUAGCGAGUUGGCGGGGUAAAGGCCUACCAAGGCGACGAUCCGUCACUGGUCUGAGAGGAUGAUCAGCCACACUGGAACUGAGACACGGUCCAGACUCCUACGGGAGGCAGCAGUGGGGAAUAUUGGACAAUGGGCGAAAGCCUGAUCCAGCCAUGCCGCGUGUGUGAAGAAGGUCUUCGGAUUGUAAAGCACUUUAGGUGGGGAGGAAAGGCAGUAAGUUAAUACCUUGCUGUUUUGACGUUACCAACAGAAUAAGCACCGGCUAACUUCGUG